UGCAGUCGACGGUAACAGAACUAGCUUGCUAGUUGCUGACGAGUGGCGGACGGGUGAGUAAUACUUAGGGAUCUGCCUCUGUGUGGGGGAUAACUAUUGGAAACGAUAGCUAAUACCGCAUAACGUCUACGGACCAAAGAGGGCUUCGGCUCUCGCGCAGAGAGGAACCUAAGCGAGAUUAGCUUGUUGGUGAGGUAAAGGCUCACCAAGGCGACGAUCUCUAGCUGUUCUGAGAGGAAGAUCAGCCACACUGGAACUGAGACACGGUCCAGACUCCUACGGGAGGCAGCAGUGGGGAAUAUUGCACAAUGGGGGCAACCCUGAUGCAGCCAUGCCGCGUGUGUGAAGAAGGCCUUCGGGUUGUAAAGCACUUUCAGUUGUGAGGAAAGGUUAGUAGUUAAUACCUGCUAGCUGUGACGUUAACAACAGAAGAAGCACCGGCUAACUCCGUGCCAGCAGCCGCGGUAAUACGGAGGGUGCGAGCGUUAAUCGGAAUUACUGGGCGUAAAGCGCACGCAGGCGGUCUGUUAAGCUAGAUGUGAAAGCCCCGCGCUCAACGUGGGAGGGUCAUUUAGAACUGGCAGACUA
rnacentral:rRNA from 1 species